rnacentral:rRNA from 1 species
ACGCACGCUGGCGGCCUGCCUAACCCCUGCAAGUCGCACGAGACCUUCGGGUCUAGUGGCGCACGGGUGCGUAACGCGUGGGAACCUGCCCUUAGGUUCGGAAUAACUCCCCGAAAGGGGUGCUAAUACCGGAUAAUGUCUUCGGACCAAAGAUUUAUCGCCUUUGGAUGGGCCCGCGUUGGAUUAGCUAGUUGGUAGGGUAAAAGCCUACCAAGGCGACGAUCCAUAGCUGGUCUGAGAGGAUGAUCAGCCACACUGGGACUGAGACACGGCCCAGACUCCUACGGGAGGCAGCAGUGGGGAAUAUUGGACAAUGGGCGAAAGCCUGAUCCAGCAAUGCCGCGUGAGUGAUGAAGGCCUUAGGGUUGUAAAGCUCUUUUACCCGGGAUGAUAAUGACAGUACCGGGAGAAUAAGCUCCGGCUAACUCCGUG